rnacentral:rRNA from 1 species
CCUGACGCAGCGACGCCGCGUGAGGGAUGAAGGCCUUCGGGUUGUAAACCUCUUUCAGCGCCGAAGAAGCGAAAGUGACGGUGGGCGCAGAAGAAGCACCGGCUAACUACGUGCCAGCAGCCGCGGUAAUACGUAGGGUGCAAGCGUUGUCCGGAAUUAUUGGGCGUAAAGAGCUCGUAGGCGGUUUGUCGCGUCUGCUGUGAAAACUCGGGGCUUAACCCCGGGCCUGCAGUGGGUACGGGCAGACUAGAGUGCGGUAGGGGAGACUGGAAUUCCUGGUGUAGCGGUGGAAUGCGCAGAUAUCAGGAGGAACACCGGUGGCGAAGGCGGGUCUCUGGGCUGUAACUGACGCUGAGGAGCGAAAGCGUGGGGAGCGAACAGGAUUAGAUACCCUGGUAGUCCACGCCGUAAACGUUGGGCGCUAGGUGUGGGGCUCUUUCCACGAGUUCCGUGCCGCAGCAAACGCAUUACGCGCCCCGCCUGGGGAGUACGGCCGCAAG